AGUGAAGUAAGCUAAGAAAGCUAUCGGGCCCAUACCCCGAAAAUGACGGUUUAACCCCAUCCCUCACUA
rnacentral:tRNA from 1 species